rnacentral:lncRNA from 1 species
GGUGACUAUCACUUACUGAGCACUCCAAGAAGUAGGUGCUAGAUGCUCUGUUAGGUUUGUUAUGAAUAUUAUUAUCUCUGAGUCUUCUCAAGGACCCAAUAAAACAGAUCUUGUUUCACAAGGGAACUAAGGCAUUGAGAGAAUGUGUCCCACUUCAUCCUUCUUCCCCCUUUUCUUUGGUUUCACUUUGUAGCUUAGGUGACCUAGAACUUUCCAUUUUCUUGCCUAGAACAUUCCAUUUUCUUGAAGAUGAGCACCCCUUUGAUGGGAGGUUAAACCAGGACUAAGCCUUGGGGUUUCUCAUUUACUCCUAUCAGAAACGAUAAUUAUCAGGCUUGUCCUUUCCAUAGCCUCACAGAAGACUCCCUUUCAGGUGACUGGAGCAGGGCUGGGUGGAUCUCCUACCUGUGGCUGUGUCUCACUGGUGUAUUGGGACCCAAGGUUACCAGAAUGAGAUGAAAGCUUUAUAUCAUCACCCCCCACCCACUUAUAGGAGCAAAAAACAAGAAACAAUGAACCAUUUCUCAUGGCUCACAGCCAGAGUUCUGCAACUCCACCCACAACCAGACAACCAUAUUGGAACCACUGUGCUUGGGUGUCACAUGAUCCAGCCUCAAGGCCACCUCUUUGCCUGUUCUUUUCUCCUAGGGAACUUGGAGAAACAAGUAUGUGAGAACAUUCUCAGUGGCAUCUUCUGCAUCUCGGAAAAGUCUCUGGAGAAGGAGGGAGCUGAAGAAAUUCUGUCCUGUGUUGUUACCUGAUGCCUUAAGACUCUUGCAGACCUGCAGGAGGGGUUGGAGAAAUGCGUCAUGACAAACUCUCCAGGUGAUCCAGGUGGUUAUCUUCUAUAAAGUAUUCCUUAAGUUUUGAGAAAAAUCUACCAGGGAAUAAGACAUCAACUCCCUGAAUGCAUUUAAGAUGUGAUUGCACACACUUUCAGGAGCAUAAGGCCUAUCACUUCCUUCUAUGGAGGUAGAAGGGAUACGUUGUCAUCUUUGAAAGGUGAGAUGUAAGGACCACAUGUGCCCAAAGGCCUCUUGAUAUUAGAGGUGUGGUGGUCAUACAUUUUCUUUGUCUAUAUUCCAGUGGCUUUGUCCUGAGAACACCUUUCCUUCGUAGUUAAGUUUCUAGGAGUGACCACCAGCUGUGCUGAUUCUCUUCUCUGGCUUCUGUCCUGUCUGCCUUCUUUGCAGUAUUGGGAGCUCCCAAGAACAUCUCCAUGGAAAGGCUUCUCUCCUCUGGCUUCUGGGAAACCUGCUCCUUCCAUGUAUCUUCUCUAAGUGCUUCUGAGGAUCCUACUCAACACUGGGCACACGCUCUCACCUGUAGACCAUCUUGAGUACAGCAAGACCAUAUUCUUGUCUCGCUUCCUGUGUGGUGCCCAGGGUUAGCUCCUUCCACAAGAAUCUUCAGCUUAAUCAAGAGGACCCAAGAAAAGGAAUUCAGGUACACCUUUCAUGUCAUUCUCCAAGUAGAGCUUUGCCUGCAGCUUGAAGCUUGGGUCUCACCUUCGAGUGCUGGGUGUAAGUAGCCCUAGGUAUGGCUGUCUGGUCUGCACCUCAUCUCUGGGUGUCACAGAGAGCAUGUUUGGUAUUGGAUUCCACUAAGAAUUCUACUCAGUUUGGAAGAACCGUUUGUCCUUUAAGUCCUUGGUCUGGACACCUGGUUCCAGGACAGUUGUGGCAGUGGAAGAUCUUGAUGGGCACUGACCCUUGUUCUGAGAGUCUUCCAUAGGAAGACCCAAGAGCCAGACCCAGGAGC